GUUAAGUCCCGCAACGAGCGCAACCCUCACUUUUAGUUGCCAUCAUUUAGUUGGGCACUCUGAAAGAACUGCCAGUGAUAAGCUGGAGGAAGUGGGGAUGACGUCAAGUCCUCAUGGCCCUUACGUGUUGGGCUACACACGUGCUACAAUGGCAUCUACAAUAGGAAGCAAAAUGGCAACAUUGAGCAAAUCCUAAAAAGAUGCCUCAGUUCGGAUUGCACUCUGCAACUCGAGUGCAUGAAGCUGGAAUUACUAGUAAUCGCGGAUCAGCGCGCCGCGGUGAAUACGUUCCCGGGUCUU
rnacentral:rRNA from 1 species